GGUCCAUGGGAAAGAAAGGCAUAAUCGAGCCAGCACAACAGGGUGCCCAUGGGAGAGACAAUUUGGGUGAAAUGUAGAAGAUGGGGAAUUUUGGCUGAGAAGCACACACCUGAGAGGAGUGGUGUCUUGGAAGAUUCAGAAAAGUUGGUGUCCAUGAUUCUUGGACAAUAAGAGAGGAAAAAUGUGAUGGAGAUCGAAUCUGUUUUGUGGGCUCAGCAAAUGCAGAACUUGUCGACAUCGGCUCCCAUUCAUACUGGCCAUAUAGGCAGUGGUAUUAUCCUCAGUGGGGUUAAUUAAGCCUUUCCUCAAGACUACACGCACUGCCUUCCAAGGGGUUCAAACAGUCUUCAGCAUGGAGCCAAAGUACAUCAUAUACAAGGAUCAGUGUUCAAGAUGGGAUAUGUCAGGAGCGAUGGGACACCAGAGGCGGAAGAACCUAUGUCCCCAGGCUACAGCAAAGCUCCCAGCCCUAUGAAAAUCAUCUAGCCUGCUCUGAGCCACAUGCCUAGAGGUCACAGAGGCAUGCGGGAAAGUGAGAGGAAGUGGAAACGUGCUACAAAAAGGGCUCAAAGCAAUGUGCUCACCACCGGAAAAAAAAAUAAAAAUAAACACCCUC
rnacentral:lncRNA from 1 species